rnacentral:rRNA from 1 species
CAAACCUGAGAGUUUGAUCCUGGCUCAGAACGAACGCUGGCGGCAGGCCUAACACAUGCAAGUCGAACGCUCCCUUCGGGGAGAGUGGCAGACGGGUGAGUAACGCGUGGGAAUCUACCCAGUACUACGGAAUAACGUUUGGAAACGAACGCUAAUACCGUAUACGCCCUUCGGGGGAAAGAUUUAUCGGUAUUGGAUGAGCCCGCGUUUGAUUAGCUAGUUGGUGAGGUAAUGGCUCACCAAGGCGACGAUCAAUAGCUGGUCUGAGAGGAUGAUCAGCCACACUGGGACUGAGACAC